UACGAUCCAUACCACCAUGGACAUGCUGCUUCUCAUCUGAUCUUGGAAGCUAAGUAGGGUUGGGUCUGGUUGGUACUUGGAUGGGAAUAACUGUGCUAUUUAUACAGUCCAGAAAGCCAGAAAUUAACGGGA
rnacentral:rRNA from 1 species